GAUGAACGCUAGCGGCAGGCUUAAUACAUGCAAGUCGAGGGGCAGCGCAGUGUAGCAAUACAUGGGCGGCGACCGGCAAACGGGUGCGGAACACGUACGCAACCUACCCAUAACUGAUGAAUAGCCCUCCGAAAGGAGGAUUAAUACAUCGUAACAUAAUGAAGUGGCAUCACUUUAUUAUUAUAGCUCCGGCGGUUUUGGAUGGGCGUGCGCCUGAUUAGGUAGUUGGCGGGGUAAUGGCCCACCAAGCCUGCGAUCAGUAACUGGUGUGAGAGCACGACCAGUCACACGGGCACUGAGACACGGGCCCGACUCCUACGGGAGGCAGCAGUAAGGAAUAUUGGUCAGUGGACGCAAGUCUGAACCAGCCAUGCCGCGUGAAGGAUGAAGGUCCUCUGGAUUGUAAACUUCUUUUAUAUGGGACGAAACCUCUUAUUCUUAAGAGACUGACGGUACCAUAGGAAUAAGCACCGGCUAACUCCGUGCCAGCAGCCGCAGUAAAAC
rnacentral:rRNA from 1 species